GCCUCUGUAGCAUAGUAGCUAAUGCGCUUCCCUCGUAAGGAAGAGAUCAUGGGUGCAACUCCCAUCAGAGGCU
rnacentral:tRNA from 1 species